AGUGAACGCUGGCGGUAGGCCUAACACAUGCAAGUCGAACGGCAGCACAGUAAUAGCUUGCUCUUACGGGUGGCGAGUGGCGGACGGGAGAGGAAUACAUCGGAAUCUACUUUUUCGUGGGGGAUAACGUAGGGAAACUUACGCUAAUACCGCAGACGACCUACGGGUGAAAGCAGGGGAUCUUCUGACCUUGCGCGAUUGAAUGAGCCGAUGUCGGAUUAGCUAGUUGGCGGGGUAAAGGCCCACCAAGUCGACGAUCCGUAGCUGGUCUGAGAGGAUGGUCAGCGACACUGGAACUGAGACACGGUCCAGACUCCUACGGGAGGCAGCAGUGGGGAAUAUUGGACAAUGGGCGCAAGCCUGAUCCAGCCAUACCGCGUGGGUGAAGAAGGCCUUCGGGUUGUAAAGCCGUUUUGUUGGGAAAGAAAAGCAGCAGGUUAAUACCCCGCUGUUCUGACGGUACCCAAAGAAUAAGCACCGGCUAACUUCGUG
rnacentral:rRNA from 1 species